rnacentral:rRNA from 1 species
AGUGGCGCACGGGUGAGUAACGCGUGGAUUAUCUACCUACUGGUACGGGACAACAGUUGGAAACGACUGCUAAUACCGUAUACGCUGGUAACGGGAAAGGGGGCCUCUUCUUGAAAGCUCUCGCCAGUAGAUGAGUCCGCGUUUCAUUAGCUAGACGGUGGGGUAACGGCCUACCGUGGCAACGAUGAAUAGCAGGCCUGAGAGGGUGGCCUGCCACACUGGGACUGGAACACGGCCCAGACUCCUACGGGAGGCAGCAGUGGGGAAUAUUGCGCAAUGGACGAAAGUCUGACGCAGCGACGCCGCGUGGAGGAUGAAGGUUUUCGGAUCGUAAACUCCUGUCAAGAGGGAAGAAACCUAUCAAAACUAAUACUUUUGGUAAUUGACGGUACCUCUAGAGGAAGCACCGGCUAAUUCAGUGCCAGCAGCCGCGGUAAUACUGAAGGUGCA